AUCCAACUGACGAGUCCCAAAUAGGACGAAACACGCGUCAAACUGGGU
rfam:Schistosoma haematobium scaffold293_4, whole genome shotgun sequence.